GUUACAGCGCAGCUGGUGCAUGACGAGAGGAUUCUCCAUGGCCCCAGGAGUCUUGGUCUCGUUGGGGAUGAUGCAGCGCACAAAGUGGGGAUAAAGGCCCUUUGGAGUUGAAGUUGAAGAAUCAGACAACUUUGUUUAAGAAAAUUGUCUGCGAAGACCUGCUUUAGUCAGCACUGUCCAUCAAAACUACAUCCUGCCUUUUAGGGUACCCACCUACCCAACCCACCCUCCUCCCACCCACCCACUAUGCUCACACAGAAGCUCCUUGAGCUACCUGAGGAGAUGGCAAAAGUCAAAAAGAAGACCUAAAGCACAGGGAUCAAACGUUUCAGGGACAGUUGGGUGGUUGCUUCACUCUUC